rnacentral:tRNA from 1 species
GAGUCAUUGCGCAAUCCUCGGUCACCUGAGCCCCUGAUAAGGGCGAGGUCGGUGGUUCAAGUCCACCGAGGCCCACCA